AUAUUGCUCAAAAUGUGGAAUCUUACUUAUAACAAUUCAAAAUUUUAUUUAGAAUUUUAUUUAAUUUUUGGUGCAAUUCUUAAUUUCUAUAUUUUAUUUUUAGAGUAAUAAUUUAAAUUAAGAAUUUAUUAAUAUAAAAAUAUUAUAAAUAAUAAAAAUUGAAGGUUUUUUAACUAGUUAGAAAUUAUGUAGUUAAUAAAGUGAAAUUAUAAAAUACAUGGAGGUGGAUAGAAU
rnacentral:lncRNA from 1 species